GACAGAGAUUCUCAGCUUCGGCCGCCUAUUUCCUUGCAUCGUCGCCGAUUCCUGCACUCGGCCGCCUAUUUCCUUGCCUCGUCGUCGAUUCCCGUCCACAGCCGCCGCAUUCCCCUGAGAUUGCGAUCUAACAGUUAGCUGCCAUAUCCAAGCCGGAGCUGCCGGUCAGAAUCACCACCACAAAUACCUUUGGCAGCCAUUAUUAUCCUUUCAAGACCAAACCAUAUCUCUUCUUACGCCUCAUCGAAGAAUCAGUAGAUAUCUAAGAAGCAGCCACAGAGAGAGAAAAGAAAGAGAUAAGCUUUUACGGUUAGUUUGCUAUACUCUUACUUUUAUUUUUGCACCAUGGUUCAAGUGGCAACCAUGGUUAUGUAAAUACCACAGACAAGCAUGUAUCUAGGUAGUAGAUUAUGUAAAUACCAUAGAUAAGCAUGUAUCUAGGUAGUGGAUAUGGAGAAUAGGUUGGGGAAUGGCUCGUUCCAUUCCAUUUGUUGUUGUGGCGAUGGCUUGGAGCCGAUUAUGUGCUAUAUGUGCUAUAUGUAACGUAGGGUAUGUGAAAAUUAUUAAGUUUUUUUCAAUUAAAAUGAUUAUGUUAUAUUAUACUUGUUGGUAACUAUUUAUUUAUUCUUUUAGUUGGCAUUGGGUCAUCAUGAUGGUUUAUCCCCAUAAGGAGACAAUAUAUGUGUUGGAUCCAUUGACUGACAGUUGUCAUGUUGAGGAGUGGAAGAGCAUUAUGACGACAGCCAUAAAAAUGUUCAACAUGAGCAUAGGAAUAAGGGGGAGACAGAAUCUUUUGUGGGAAGUGAUCGAUAGUCCACAACAACCUGAUGGGAAACAGUGUGGAUUCUAUGUUAUGCGAUACAUGAGAGAUGUUAUUGAUAAUAUUGUAUCUGAUCACUCUCUCCCAAUAAUUACACUGUUUGCAGGAGGAUGCUACUCCAAAAAGGAAAUUGAUGAAGUAAGGAUAGAGUGGGCAGAAUUUGUAUGUAAAAUCACAUAUGAGUGAUGAUGGAUGGUGUAACUUGCUUGUUUUCGGUGUUUGCAGUUAUGUUUCAAUUAGUAGGAUGAUGAUGUUUGGAUUCUAAUGUAAUGUAGGACUAGGAUGAUGAUGUUUCGAUUCUAAUGUAAUGUAGGGAUGAUGAUGUUGGAUUGUAUUGUAAUGUAGAAUGAUGAUGAUGGAUUAUAAUGUAUGAAUUUUAUUAUUAA